CGACCCUAGGUCAGGCAGGAUUACCUGCUGAGUUUAAGCAUAUCAAUAAGUGGGGGAAAAGAAACUUACAAGGAUUCCCUUAGUAACGGCGUGCAAAUCAGGAACAACCCAGCCUUAGAAUCGGGCAACUUCAUCGUCCGAAUUAUAGUUUUGAGAAGCAUCCUCAGCGGUAGACUGGGCCCAAGUCCCCUGGAAUAGGGCGCCAGAGAAGGUUAGAGCCCCAUUUUGCCCGGACCCUACCGCACAAUGAGGCACUGUGUACGAGUUAGGUUGUUUGGGAAUGCAUCCCAAAUCGGGUAGUGAAUUCUGUCCAAAGCUAAAUACGAGCGACAGACCGAUAGCGAAAAAGUACCGUGAGGGAAAGAUGAAAAGGACUUUUAAAAGAGAGUCAAAGAGUUCUUGAAAUUAUCGGGAGGGAAGCGGAUGGGGACCGGCGAUGCACCCCAGUUGGAUAUGGAAUGGGGACGAGCCGGUUCGUCGAUCGACUCGGGGCAUGGACCAGCGUGGAUUGGGGGGCAUCCAAAGCUCGGGCUCUUGAUACGCUCGUGGAACGCUGUCCUAUCGAUUGUGGCAGGCAGCUCCGGCAUGCUUCGACAUCUGCGAGCUAUGGAUUCUGGCCUGUAGGCUCCCCCAUUCAACCCGUCUUGAAAAAUGGACCAAGGAGUCUGACAUGUGUGUGAGUCAACGGGCGAGUAAACCCGUAAGGCGUAAGGAAACUAAUUGGUGGUAUCCCCCCAAGGGGUGCACCACCGACUGACCUUGAUCUUCAGAGAAGGGUUUGAGUGUGAGCAUACCUGUUGGGACCACAAAAAUAGUGAACUAUGCCUGAGCGGGGCGAAGCCAGAGGAAACUCUGGUGGAGGCCCGCAGCGAUACUGACAUGCAAAUCGUUUGUCUGACUUGGGUGUACGUCUUGCGACUGCUUUGUCGAUCCGUGCCACGGAAUCAAGAGCUCCAAGUAGGCCAUUUUUGGUAAGCAGAACUGGCGAUGCGGGAUGAACCAAAAGCCGGGUUACUGUGCUAAACUGUGCGCUAACCUAGACCCCACAAAGGGUGUUGGUCGAUUAAGACAGCAGGAUGGUGUUCAUGGAAGUAAAAAUCCACCAUGGAGUGUGGAACAACUCACCAGCCGAAUAAACAAGACCCAAAAAUGGAUGGCACUUAAGCGCGUGACCUAUACCCGGCCGUCGGGGAAAGUUCCAUGCCCCGAUGAGUAGGAGGCCAUCGGUGCAGAUAUAGGUGAUAGUAGCAAAUAUUCAAAUGAAAACUUUGAAGGCUGAAGAGGGGAAUGGUUCCGUGUGAAUGGCACUUGCACAUGGGUUAGUCGAUCCUAAGGGUCGGGAAAACCACGACAGAUAGUGCAUUUCACGCGUACUCCGAAAAGGAAUCAGGUUAAAAUUCAUGGACCAGGACGUGGCGGUCAACGACAAUGUUAGGAAGUUUGGAGCCGUCAGAAGGAGCCUCAGGAAGAGUUAUCUUUUUUGUUAAAUAGCCUGCCCACCCUGGAAUCGGCUCAACUGGAGGUAGGGUCCAGAGGCUGGAAGAGCACCGCACAUCUCCUGGUGUCCGAUGCACUUCUGGCAGCCCUUGAAAAUCCAAAUGACCGAAUGUCAUCCACACAUGGUUUUCAUCAUAUCCACAUCAAGUCUCCAAGGGUAACAACCUCUGGUUAAUGGAACAAUGUAGGCAAGGGAAGUCUGCAAAAUGGAUCCGUAACUUCUAGAAAAUGAUUGGCAUUGAGGGCUGGGAAUGGGGGUCCCAGUCCUGAACCCAUCGGCUGUCGGUGGACUACUCGAGCUGUUCUUACAGUAUGAGCGGGUCACCACAUGCCGGUUGGGGGAAAGAUUGGGAACGGUUCCUUCGGGGGCCUUCCCCGCGCGUCAAACAGCCAGCUCAAAACUGGUACGAACAAGGGGAAUCCGACUGUUUAAUUAAAACAAAGGAUUAUGAUGGUCACAACGGAUGUUCAUGCAUUGUCAUUUCUUCCCAGUGCUCUGAAUGUCAAAGUGAAGAAAUUUAACCAAGUGCGGGUAAACGGAAGGAGUAAUAUGACUCUCUUAAGGUAGCCAAAUGCCUCGUCAUCUAAUUAGUGAUGCGCAUGAAUGGAUUAACGAGAUUCCCACUAUCCCUGUCUACUAUCUAGCGAAACAAUAGCCAAGGGAAUAGGCUUGGCAGAAUCAGCUAGGAAAGAAGACCCUCUUGAUCUUGACUCUACUUUGAAAGGCGAAAGUGAAAUACCACUACUUUUAACAUUAUUUUACUUAUUUUGUGAGUCAAAAGCGGAGCACUGCCCCUCUUUUUGGACCCAAGGGUCGCUCUGCGGGCCGAUCCAGGCGGAAGACAUUGUCAAGUGGGGAGUUUGGCUGGGGCGGCACAUCUGUUAAAAGAUAACGCAGGUGUCCUAAGAUGAGCUCAAAGAGAAUAGAAAUAUCGUGAGGAACAGAAGGGUAAAAGCUCGUUUGAUUCUGAUUUCCAGUACGAAUACGAACCAUCAAAGUGUGGCUUAACGAUUCUUUAGACCUUCAAAAUUCAAAGCUAGAGGUGUCAGAAAAGUGUUACCACGGGGAUAACUAGCCUGUUGCAGCCAAGCGUUUAUAGCGACAUUGCUUUUUCAUUCUUCGAUGUCGUCUCUUCCUAUCAUUAUGAAGCAGAAUUCACCAAGUGUUGUACUGUUCACCCACCAAUAGGGAAUGUUAGCUGGGUUUAGAUUGUCGUGAGACAGGUUAGUUUUACCCUACUUAUGACAGUGUCGUAGUAGUAAUUCAACCUAGUACGAGAGCAAAUGUUGAUUCACAUAAUUUUUCAUCACGCUUGGUUGAAAAGCCAGUGGCAUAAAGCUACCAUGUGCUGGAUUAUGACUGAGCGCCUCUAAGUCAGAAUCUAGGCUAGAAGUGAUGCAUGCGCCCGCUGUCCGCUUGCCGACCCGCAGUAGAGGCCUCAUCCCCCAAGGGCACGUGUCGUUUGCUAAGCCACCGCGGCGGAAGAGUCAUGUUAGACACCUUGAAGUAUAAUUUCCAUCGAUCGGCGGGUAGACUACUUUGUAGAUGACUUAAAUAUGCGACGGGGGAUUGUAAGUUGAAGAGUGGCCUUGCUGCCACGAUCCACUUAGAUUCAUCCCUUUGUCGCUCUGGUUCGU
rfam:Capsicum annuum cultivar Zunla-1 unplaced genomic scaffold scaffold2697, whole genome shotgun sequence